GACGGCGGGGCAACGGCCCACCGUGGCGACGAUCCGCAGGGGUUCUGAGAGGAAGGUCCCCCACACUGGCACUGAGACACGGGCCAGACUCCUACGGGAGGCAGCAGUGAGGAAUAUUGGUCAAUGGGCGGGAGCCUGAACCAGCCAAGUAGCGUGCAGGACGACGGCCCUACGGGUUGUAAACUGCUUUUCCGGGAGGAUAAAGUGAGCCACGCGUGGUUCAUUGCAGGUAUCCCGGGAAUAAGGACCGGCUAAUUCCGUGCCAGCAGCCGCGGUAAUACGGAAGGUCCGGGCGUUAUCCGGAUUUAUUGGGUUUAAAGGGAGCGCAGGCGGAGAUGCAAGCGUGACGUCAAAUUUCGGGGCUCAACCCCGUCUCGCGUCGCGAACUGCGUCCCUUGGUUGCGGGAAGGGGAGGCGGAACUCGUGGUGUAGCGGUGAAAUGCAUAGAUAUCACGAAGAACUCCGAUCGCGAAGGCAGCCUCCCGGCCCGUCAACGACGCUCAUGCUCGAAGGUGCGGGUAUCAAACAGGAUUAGAUACCCUGGUAGUCCGCACAGUAAACGAUGGACACCCGCGGUUUGGCCUGUAUGGCUGAGCCGCCAAGCGA
rnacentral:rRNA from 1 species